rnacentral:rRNA from 1 species
UACGGAGGGUGCAAGCGUUGUCCGGACUCCCUGGGCGUAAAGGGCGCGUAGGCGGCUCAUGAAGGCUGUGGUGAAAGUCCGGGGCUCAACCUCGGAUCGGCCGUGGCGACUCGUGGGCUGGAGCACUGUAGAGGCGGGUGGAAUUUCGGGUGUAGCGGUGGAAUGCGUAGAGAUCCGGAAGAACACCAGUGGCGAAGGCGGCCCGCUGGGCAGUGGCUGACGCUGAGGCGCGACAGCGUGGGGAGCAAACAGG